rnacentral:rRNA from 1 species
CCGUGAGGGAAAGAUGAAAAGGACUUUGGAAAGAGAGUUAAAAAGUACGUGAAACCGUUAAAAGGGAAACGAAUGGAGCUAGCAAUGCACCCUGCGAGAUUCAGCCGGUGGGUGGUUCGGGCGCGCGGUUUGCAGAUCUGAAUUGACUGCGGCCGCGUGGUUUGGGCUCCCCUCCGUCGCACUUCUCGCGGGUGCGAGUCAACAUGGGUUGGGACCGGGUCUUAAAGGCGUCGGCAAGGUAGGUCCGUCCCUCCGGGGUCGGACUGUUUAGGCCGGCGUUCUCGCGGCUCGGGCCCGACCGAGGUGAUUGCAGCACAUGCCUCUUGUGGCUGGUGUCUCGUUCCUCCGGUUGGUUGUCGACCGUGGUGGACUGCUUGCAGUGCACCACGACUGCUGCCGGUCGCUGGGGCGGUGACUUCGCACGAUGUGCUUGGGAUGUUGGCGGUGAUAUGGCUUUAUCCGACCCGUCUUGAAACACGGACCAAGGAGUCUACCAUAUGCGCGAGUCUUUGGGUGAUUGAAACCCGCGGGCAGAAUGAAAGUGAAGGCGGCCUCGGCCGUCGAGGUGAGAACCUCCCCUUACCGGGGUGGCGCAUCAUCGACCGACCUAUUCUACUCCUAGGAAGGUUUGAGUAAGAGCGCAUUUGCUGGGACCCGAAAGAUGGUGAACUAUGCCUGAAUAGGGUGAAGCCAGAGG